rnacentral:lncRNA from 1 species
UCCCCGUCUCUUAUUACUCCCAAACCGUGCAUGAAAUUUUUCCCGAAGGUCUUUCCAUGAAUUUAUCGAUCCCGUCGCCAAGGUUCCCAUCCAUUCUCGGGCACUUUUCUUCAGGGUAGUAGCAAACAUGUGGCACUUGGCUGCAUCAGAGUGGCCAUAAUACGUCAUCAACCUGUCAUACCCAUCAGAAUGGUCGUAAGGGUCCCCCAGCCCGUCAUAAGUCUCUAUCGGGGGCAUCUUCUUUUUGGGGUCCGCUAUCUCCUGAUUAAUAUUCGGAGAGAAGGGUGACCCUAUAUAGGUCGAUGGCGCUUCGAUCGGGCCCCUGACCAACAAUAGCUUCUCCAAUUCAGCAACUCUUCGAGCGAGGGGGUCGGAUUCUCCUUCGUGAGGGGACGAAUGGGGUCUGUCCUUCUCACGUUCGGGAAUCUCGUCUUUCC